UGGGUAACCUGCCUCAAAGAGGGGAAUAGCCUCCCGAAAGGGUGAUUAAUACCGCAUAAUAUGUUUAAGUCGCAUGACUUUAACAUCAAAGGAUUUUCUUCGGAAAUUCCACUUUGAGAUGGACCCGCGGCGCAUUAGCUAGUUGGUGAGGUACGGCUCACCAAGGCGACGAUGCGUAGCCGACC
rnacentral:rRNA from 1 species